AGAGUUUGAUCCUGGCUCAGGAUGAACGCUGGCGGCGUGCUUAACACAUGCAAGUCGAACGUUAACCAAUAGCAAUAUUGGUGAAAGUGGCGAACGGGUGAGUAACACGUGGGUGACCUGCCUCGAAGUGGGGGAUAACCAUGGGAAACUAUGGCUAAUACCGCAUAGACUUUGGCGAAUGGGCAUUCGCUUUGGUAAAACUUUGGUGCUUCGAGAGGGGCCUGCGUCCGAUUAGGUCGUUGGUAGGGUAAUGGCCUACCAAGCCGAUGAUCGGUAGCUGGUCUGAGAGGACGAUCAGCCACACGGGAACUGAGAAACGGUCCCGACUCCUACGGGGGGCAGCAGUGAGGAAUAUUGGGCAAUGGACGCAAGUCUGACCCAGCAACGCCGCGUGGAGGAUGAAGGUCUUUGGAUUGUAAACUCCUUUUGUGGGGGAAGAGUGAGGACGGUACCCCAAGAAUAAGUCACGGCUAACUACGUGCCAGCAGCCGCGGUAAUACGUAGGUGACGAGCGUUAUCCGGAUUUAUUGGGCGUAAAGCGCACGCAGGCGGCAGAGAAAGUCUGACGUAAAAUCUCCCGGCUUAACCGGGAGCGGUCGUUGGAAACUACUUGGCUUGAGGCGAGGAGAGGGGUGCGGAAUUCCCGGUGUAGUGGUGGAAUGCGUAGAUAUCGGGAGGAACAUCAGUGGCGAAAGCGGCACCCUGGCCUUAGCCUGACGCUCAGGUGCGAAAGCGUGGGGAGCGAACGGGAUUAGAUACCCCGGUAGUCCACGCUGUAAACGAUGAAUACUAGGUGUGGGUGGUCUCAAAAUCAUCCGUGCCGCAGCAAACGCGCUAAGUAUUCCGCCUGGGGAGUACGGCCGCAAGGCUAAAACUCAAAGGAAUUGACGGGGGCCC
rnacentral:rRNA from 1 species